GACGAACCGAGCGAACGUUGUUCGGAAUAACUGGGCUUAAAGGGCUCGUAGGCGGCCAACUAAGUCGGACGUGAAAUCCCUCGGCUCAACCGGGGAACUGCGUCCGAUACUGGAUGGCUUGAGUUCGGGAGAGGGAUGCGGAAUUCCAGGUGUAGCGGUGAAAUGCGUAGAUAUCUGGAGGAACACCGGUGGCGAAGGCGGCAUCCUGGACCGACACUGACGCUGAGUGAGCGAAAGCCAGGGGAGCAAACGGG
rnacentral:rRNA from 1 species